UUUAACCACGAGACCAUCAGGGCUGGCUUGUAAAUUAUUUUAUUUUUUGUCUUAUUCCUAAAGGAUUUGAGUAUGCUAAAAAUGCAUGUAAUCCUCUAACAUUUUUUUAAAGUUGAAGAUAAAUUUAUUAGGAUAAAGGAGUAAUGAAAGGCAACAGAGGUAUUAAAAAAUGUAUGCUAUGAAGUCCUGAAAUUAUUAAAGGUGGGCAUAGACCUUUCUCUGAAAUUCUGGAGAACUAUACAAAACUAUUUAAGAAAUAUUUCAUUUUGAAUCAAAAGUAUACCAAUUAAUCAGGAAAAGCACUUUGCUCCAGGCACUGAAGACAGAGAGUUUUCUGUUUUGAAUUCUUUUAGCAUAAUACAGAGUGAAGGAGUAAGCAGAAGGCUCAUAACAUCUUUCUAGUAAAUUCUGGGGUGACGUUCAUAAAGCUGUUCUAUAGACAGGGAUACUUGUUGAACAACUCCAGAAGACACUGGUCAUGUCAUUGUGUGUGUGAAGGUGCCCCUGGAAUUGUACCCUGCUGCCACACUUGGUGGACCUGUUGAUGGGUUUUGCUAAUCAGACUGAGGUCAUAAAUUAAAUUUGGGAAAAAUAAUUCUAGAGGGGCUCAAUAUUAUUCAACUCUCUAGUGCUCUGGAUUAGUCCAUGGAUAAAAUGAUGGAUUAUGUAUCUGUUAGGAAAUUCUUUCUGAUAUUAUUUCUCAAGGUUGAACUUUUGGCACAUGCCGGGCAGUUAGUCAGGGCGCAGCAUACCUGCUAAUGCUUCACCAAUCAGCUCAAUGGGAGCUGGGCUUGAAGAGCAGUUUCUGGGCUCCAUGUGUCCUCCUGCAUGUUGAAGAUCUAAAGACUUCAUAUUUUGUCAAUUCUGGAUUCAGUGCCUUUAAACAUGAUUAAUUUUUUGCAAAAUGAGAAGACAAUAACAUUGUUUCAGGAGAUGUGAGUCUGACAGACUUCCCUCUAUCAACCUCAUAUUAAAAAAUUCCUAAGAAAACUUAAAAUGUAGACAGUCAUAUUCCCUGAGAUGUGCAAGAAAUGCCAUUUUUAGCUUCUGGAAGUUCAAAGACAAAGAAGAGAUCAGGAACGGGGAACUAUAGAGAGUACUAAUUAAGAAUAUGGUUUCUGGAGUCAGAUCAGGGUAUAAAAUGUCUAUACCACUAACUUGCUGUAUAACUGGCCAAAUUGUUUACCUCUCUCUGUCUCAGUUGCCACAUCUGUAAAAUGAGGAGAAUGAUGCCUAGUUCCGAGGACUGAUGUGUGAGGAAAAUAUGAUGAUACGUAAAUCAUGUACAAAGUGCCUGGGAAAUUGGGAGUAUUCAAUAGAUGGCAGCUUUUUGUUUUUAAGUAAAAUAGAGUGGCAUGUGAGAAAGCAAACAAGUAAAAGAAGAAACAACAUGCGAUAUAGGAAAAACGAUGGAGAGAAAGCAAACCAAAGUGGACUUCAGUGACCCAGUGAAAAGAGGUCGCUGAGCAAAAUGAACAAUUUUGCACCCAAUGUCACUUGCCUAUCUGGCCAUGUUCCCUUAUUGGUUCGUUACUUUGGUAGUUAUUGAUAUGUGUCUCGUGAAAAGUCAUGACACUCAGAAGAGUCUUAAAAGGUCAUGAACAAAUGGACUGGACAGAUGAUUGUCACAGCCUGAGCUCAGCUAGAGAAGUACUGACUUUGCACAUUGUCAAUGCUCCAUUUUCUCUGUUGCUCUAGACCUUUUCCUUUACGGACAUUCCUGGUUGCAGGAUAAAUUAAAUCUACUCUGUUAAAAAUGAGACAUUCUAUGGUAAGCUAAUUGUGUAUGUACAGCCAUCCCGUUGUAAAAUGCACCUUUAGAGACAAAAGUAUCAAAAGGCCUAAAAAUUAUUUUUAAAACAGGAGGCUGUUAGGCCAAUUUGGGUUUCAGAUUAGGCUGAACUUUUCCAUCCUCUGAGGAUGGCAUGAUUUCCCAUGGUUCCUUGGGGAUCUCAUCUGAAAUAGAAUUGGAGGGAAAGGCAAAAUGAUUGACAAGGGCAGGUGAUGGGAGCUCAGGCGUCCCGCUGAGGGGGCUCACUUAGGAUUCCAAAUUAAAGUCAGCUACAGCCCCACGCUGGCUUGUGCUGACCCAUGCAGACACUGAGUCAAUUCUGUGCUAAGUACUUACGAUGUACAGAUUAGCAAACACAGAGGUUGAGGGUCUCGGUGCAUCCUCUGUCUUUCAGAAACAAACAGGCAGAGUUGCAAUAGUGAGGAAAUUGACAUGAAGCUUUACAAAGCAUUUUCUAAGCUUUGUAUAUUUUUCCAUGUGGUUAUUACCAGGUUCCUUGCAUUUUAUUGUAUAAUUCCAUUCAAAAAAUAUUUAUUCUCCCUCUGCUUUCCUUCAAAACCUUAAUUAAGGUGCUCUGGACCUAGAAAGAAACUGAUAUUCAUUAGGUACUGGCUUUGUUUUUCUACAUACAUUAAGUUAAGUCCUCACUCUGAAAUUCUACAAUAAAUAUCGCUAUAUGAAUUUCACAUAACUAAGGCUUCUAAGAUGUUAAAUAAUUCACCAAAGCCAGCACAGCGAAUGACAGAACCGUGAUUUGAAUCAAAGAUUCAUAUACCAGUGAGUAAGAUGCAACCCCUGCCUUCAAAAAGCCCAAACUUCCAGGAGAGUAAUACGUUAAUAGAUGAUUGCAAUCCAAGAGAGACCAAAGGUAACACUGUCAUGAGUGCCUAGCUUAGAGAUUUUCACAUAGUCAGCAUGCUAGAAAUGUUUAUGGUAUCAGUGAAUAGAGAAUAUGUAUGAAAAUUGUGCCUGAUGAAUAUAAAAACACCCUUGAGUGUGAACUCUGAAAUAGCGCUCAUAUGUCAACAAAUAUAUAUUCAGCCAAGGAAUAAGAGAAUCUAUUAAAGGAAUGGCAUGAGCCUUGGGAAAGUUUGAUCUGCUAUCUUCUGAAGAACUUUUUCUGAAGUUUCUGCUUGCCACCCUGAUCUUAUAUGCCUCUUCCAUGAGGGGAAAUUGUGUUAUAAAGGAUGAGGUCAUUAUGGGCCACAUUUUUGGAAUGCCUUCCUAUGCUUACCCAUCCCAGACAUAAUGGACAUCCUCAUCUCAAGUAUGUCCUGAUGUAUUUGGGGUCUUAGCUGAGCCAGAGCUGAGGAUCAUUUUUUUCUGAUGAAUGGAACUGAGUGAUACUUUUUUCCCCUCUCUGUAUCACAUCCCCAAGCAUCUACUUGCAUCCACAAAUUUACAUGGAAGUAAAGAUUAGAAUAGAAAUAAAUUAUUUGAAAGAUCUUCAUCAGCAAGGAUGAGAGUGGGAAGCUGCAAAACAUUUAUUUUAAGAAGAAACAGCGGGUGCUUGAGAGAAAGAAGGCUCACUCAGAAAUCCAGCGGGAGGGCUGGAGGAGAGUGAGGGAGCAUCUUGACAGUUGGAACUUGAGCGUGCAACCAACCCAGUUUCACUCAAUCAGGAGGUGAUGCGUCUGCUGAGGUGGGGGUAGAAUUGUUGACAACUCUAUGUGUUUACCAAAGGAGCUCACUCAAAUUGCAAAACACUGAAAGAAACAGCCAAGUACAGUCCUUUUAAUAGUUUAACAAAAGUCUGGGAGCCCAUUUUCAUUUUACAGCAAACUAUUGGUUCACCGGGCACAGUAAGUAUUAGGGACACUGGUGCCUGGAUACAUUGGUAAGGUCUGUCCCUUAGGUGCAGAGGGUGAGGGCAGAAUGGUUGCUUGGCUAGCCCUGAGGGUGGCGGCAGUGAGGACAAGUGCAUCUACAAGUCCCAGUUUUACCAACCUGGAUGUGGGAAGAAUCUUGAAUCACAGCUAAGGGAAGGGUGGCCAAGACACCCAAUGGUGAAGCAGCUUCUGGGGACAUCCACAAAACGCCGUUUGGUCUUUGCAAGAUUUCCUCAGUGAGCUGGGAUGUUUUCACUGUCUGAAAUAAUGUUUAACUUUCUAUCUGCAUCAACAUGGAUAAUUCUCAAAAACAAAAUGUUGAGUGAAAAAAGCAGAUUGCAAAAAGAUAAGUACAAUAUGCCAUCGCUUACAUGUAUGUUUAAAAUACAUGAAAUACUGGAAUAUAUUUUUAUGGAUGCAUAUACAUUUAUAUAUGGUAAACAUUUUUCGAAAGCAUGGAUGGAGAGGAAUGCAAAUUGCUUCGGGAUGCUAGUUAACUCCGAGAGAGGGAAACCUGGCGAGGGGUCUUCUGCGCUUCAAUUCUGCCCAUUACAUUUCACCCCUCAAACAUUGCUGAAGCAAAACUGGCACCAUUUUAAUCCUUGUUAUAUUUAGGUGAAGGGUUCUUUUUUCCCCUUCUUUCUAAUGUAUUCGAAAGGUCUUAUAGUUAAAUAUUUUUAUAAUGGAAAAAAUCAGGCUUGCUCGUUAAUGUUAAAACUUUAGUGUUUAUAGGCUGAUGAGAUCUGUGGCUUUUGGGCUACACUUAUAGUUUUGUUAUCUUUAAGGAAAAGAGUUAAAAUUAUCCCAGGAAUCUACUUUUCUUGAGGAUUAGACACAUGGAAAGUUUCAGCUUUAUAAUUUGAUGGGGAUUGAAGCAUCUGUCCACAGAAAGUUGUCUUUAAUUGUGAAAAUAGGAAUGUGAUUUUUUUCAUUAUCCAUGCAUAGCUCUAAAGCAGCUAAGGACGUCAUGUUCAACUUCUAAAGGCUUUACGUUUGAGAUAAGACCAAGCAUAAAGAAUUCAGACUCUAAAAAUGAUAAUGCAUAUGAAAGUUCUGACUGAAUGAGAAACUAGCUUAUGCUGGAAAUCUGCAUGUAAUUUUAACUAUAAUCUGCUCACCCAUGAAUGCUAUUAUCUAUUACUCUGUUUCAGACUAAGGUUUUUGUCUGUACAUGUGUGCCAUCUCUUUGACACAAGGUUUUGGUUUCCAGUGUUUUUAUUUCAAAUAAGUAGAACAGAAAAUGGAAUCCUAAAUAAAUGAUUUCUUAACUUCAAAGAAAACCCCAAGUUUUAAAUUUUCUAUUUUUGGUAGUCUAGUAUUCUUUUUCUCUUCUUUCCCAUCAAAUAUCUUAUGGGAUGGAAAGUGAGUAGACCAGCUAUAUUUUAUUAAAGAAUGUGGCACAAAAUUGUGAGAUGAGGAAGAUUGGUAACGUUUCUUUUACUCUAACAAAUAGGACGUGAAAUCAAAUGAAGAGUGACUGCAGAGAUUUGGGGGAAAGCUAUAGUUUAUUUUUGUCUGUGUGUGCGUGUAUAUUUUUUGGAGAGCGGAAGGGAUUCUUAUAAGCAACAUGUGGUCUGUACUAACAGGACUACGGAAGCUGUUCCAGUGGUCCUGAGGAAAGACAACAACUGCCUCAAAUCCCACUUGCCCCUCUCCUUAUUCACACUUUCUCCGCAUCCCUUAUUCUACACCAGAACCUCAUUCUUGCUUUCCCCUACCUCUUCCAAAAUGAUGACCCCUCUGGAAACUUCUUCCAUCAUAUCUAUCUCACACACACGUAGACACACAUACCCCUAGAGUCAUCAUAUCCUACCUGGUGUUGCUAAUAACAAUUUCAUGAAUGUUCUUCUUUUCUAUGAGAAGACUGCAACUUCCCUAAGGGUAGGGACCUCAUAAUGUUUUUUGUCUGGUUUGGUUGUUCUUUAAUUCACACAGCAGUACCAGUAAAUGGGACACACAUGGAGAGAGACUUUACCUCACCUAUAGCCAGGAAGUGGAGGAACUGAGGGUGGGGUGCUUUGGCCAAGGACAUGUAGUGAGGGUGCCUGAGUGAUUCCAGCCCUUAAACUCUAUUAGGACUGGAACCCUGCCCUCGUCUGAAGCAUGCUUGGUUAGGAGUCUGCCUCCCCAGGACUUGCCUCUCCAUAAGUUAACUUGAUAUGGUGGGAGACCGCAACUUUGGAAUUAGGCAAAUCUGACGGCCUUCAGUUAGGGAAGUUGGUUAACUUUACUGGGCCUCAAUUUACUCAUGUCUAAAACAUAAAUGAUAAAACUUCCAUGUAAAGUUUUGAUGAGGAUCAGUUUAAUUGGAGAAGUUGUAUGCACCCAGCCUAGCACAUAGCAGAUGCUCAAUAAACUUUAGUUCCAUUCUUUUCUCUGCCAAGUCCUUCUAUUAGGCAGCUGGUAUCAGCUUCAUAUAUUCCAAGCUUCAGGGCUUAAAUCUUUUUCCAAACCAAACCAAAUGACAAAACAUGUCAAUUGUAAAACUGCCAUCCUCUGUCUUGAGUUUAAAUGAUGUAGUGCUCCAUCCACUAUAUCAACCCUAUUUAGAUAUCAAUAGCAAUUUGAACCCAAAAUUUUCAUGUUAUUUGGACCUGGACCUUAUGACUUGAGCUGCUGACUAUCCUCUUUGAGCACCAGCCAGGUGAGUACCCCUAUCCUCAAAGCCAUUUGAUCCCACAUUUCUUCCCUUUCCCACUGAUCUGAUCCUAGGACGUCCAAUGGCUAAGUCUGCCCUAAGACUUCUUUACGUGAGAUUGGAGCUGAGAUAAGAUUAGAAUCCAGCUCGCCUAACUCCUAGUCAAUUACUCCUUUUGUGCUGCCUAUCCACACGAGACACCCAAUUAAUAGAUUCUAAUUCAUCUGUUGAAAUAUAGAAAGAUGGAUCAGAACAAAGCAGAUGGCUCUGUGAGUGAUGGGGAGUCAGUGGAGGACUAUAGGUGUGCUGAGUGGAGAAUGAGGGUGUUGGUACAUUCAGCCAGAAAUUAAGGGCUGGCCUGAGAUAUAUUGAAUAGACUCUGUUCUGUUAAAAGUCUGAAGGUAGUAAUAUAGGAUGUUAAAACUGGGGCAUUCAAAGUGAUUUUUUUCCAAACAAGGCUGCUCAGAGUAUUCAGGCUCUAAGUAAAUCUGCUUACUAAGAUAGCUUACUAUCAGCAUUAAAUUUAUCCAUUCAACAAACAUAGAUUGAGCACCAAAUCAGAUCCAAUUUAUGCACCUCCUCCAGUUUCCUCGGCCUCACCGAUCUCCUGGGCCAUUGGCCACUUGGUCCUUGAGAGCUCUGGCUGCUACUGGUAUUGCCAUGGCUAUAGCAGUGGUAAAUUAUCCCCAGGCAACACCCGCUUGCCCAGUGAGUGAUGAAGUCUGGCACCGCCUCUGCCAUGCCCUUUGUGGUGGGAGCCACAUAGAUCUGGAACUGAGGCUUGACCUGACCAGAGCUGUACAGACUCUCUUUCCAUCUGCGACACUGCAGCUCAAAUGAAGCUCCACAACACAGGGCAUGCAAUCCAGCUUCCUUGUGGCUGCCCUGAAGUGCAGAGAUGGCGGUAGACGAGGUUGGCUAGUUAACCAUGAACCGGAGAACCUUGAUCAAUGAGAGAAAAGAGGAUAUAAAUUCCUUUCCCUUCCUCCCUCCAACCCAUCGCUCCAAGGCACAGUGCUUGUGUACAGCCCAUCUGGAAACAUCCUUCAUGGCUGAGCAGCUGGCUGUGUGUCUUGAGAAGCUGCAGCCAGCUUGGUCAUGGACAGCCUGACUGUAAUCACAUUUUUCCUUCUUCCUUAUUUCACUUUCUUUUUCUCUCAGUCUUGCUGUCCUGGGAUGGAUCCUCUCAAUAAAGAAUUAGCACUCAAAGUUUGUCUUGAACCUAUCUCUAUGGCAUCCAUCCCAGCUAAGACAAGCAGCUAAUGUAAGCCAGACACCAUGCUAGGUGUGGGACAUAAAGCGGUGAACAAGACAGACACGGUCCCCACCCUAAAGAAGGCUUCGGCAACACACUACUAGAAAAAAAGAAAAAGGCACAAUUUGUGGCAGCACUGUUAGCGCUUCAAGUCCUAUUAAAGGACCCUCCUUUUCAAGCAGAUGGUGGCUUCACUGAUAACAAAGAAAACAACAGUGGUGGGAGAAAAGAUGGCCAGACCAAGUUUCAAAGAAGCAAAACACCAAGGGAAAAGUUAUUAAUAUUUCUUGGAGAAUGAAACACUGAAAAAAAAAUCUUUCAAUGGAAAUGAUACAAAGGAAAUAAUUUAUUGAAGAGAGCCAGUAUUAUCAAGGGCAUAACGUCCCUAGAUCUUUUCAGACUUUCUGCCUCUUUGCAGAUGGAUGAAGAAAUGGAGUUAAAAUGUAUCUAAUUUGAAACAAAAUGUAAGUGUUACAGACUGGAACAUAUUUUUAUAUUGGCAUAUUUUGUACCCAGCUGGAAUAUUUUAAGCGAAGCUUUGAGAAGGUCUCUCUAAGGAGGGGAUGUUUGAGUUGAGCAAUAAAACUUUGAGUAAUCAAAA